rnacentral:lncRNA from 1 species
AAUUUUAUAGUGGUUAGUCCAAUGAUUUAGAGAGUAUUUGCAGUUUUGCUAAAUUAAUUGAUAAAAAAUUAGAACGAUGUCCAUGUACCAUGAAAAGGAGUUUAGCAUAAAUUAAUACAAAUGUGUAAUGUGGUUAUAAAUUUUAAAACGAAUUAAAAGAUUAUAGGCUUCAUAUAUAGAGCAUUUACCGAAAACUCACUAUUUUCGGAGGGGGGUACACAUAGAUUUUGAGAAAAAUUCAAAAAAUUUGAGAAUACUGUUUUAAUACAUAUUUGAAUCAUGUAAUAAAAUAUGAUGAAGUUCAAAGAGGUUUGGAACCUUUUUUGUCUCCGUUUCUUUAGGGAAUAGCAAUUUUAUAGUAGUUAGUCUAAUGAUUCAAGACAUUCACUAAGGUUAUUAUUGUAAAAUCAAUUUUAGUUAAUUAAUUCAAAAAUGAAUAAUUAAUAAUAUCUUUCCAUAUAUUUCAAGUUUAGUUCUAUAUAUAUAUUGUUGUAC